UCAAAAACCCAAGCUUCACUUUUUUUGAAACAACGGACCAAGGAGUCUAACAUGUGCGUAAGUCAUUGGGUGAUUAAACCUAAAGGCAUAACAAACGUAAAGAAAGCUUUGCUUUAUUAGGGAUGAUGGCUAUUUAAUUAAAUUAAAAAAAUUUAAUUAUAGCCCGCAAUCCCAGGGCGUCUGUUACUCAUUGCUAGUAAGGGCGCACCAAGAACGUACACGUUGGGACCCGAAAGAUGGUGAACUAUGCCUGGCCAGGAUGAAGCCAGGGGAAACCCUGGUGGAGGUCCGUAGCGAUUCUGACGUGCAAAUCGAUCGUCAGAGCUGGGUAUAGGGGCGAUAGACUUAUCGAACUAUCUAGUAGCUGGUUCCCUCCGAAGUUUCCCUUAGGAUAGCUGGUAUCUAUGAUAAUAUGAAUCUCAUCUGGUAAAGCGAAUGAUUAGAGGCAUUGGGGCCGAAACGACCUCAACCUAUUCUCAAACUUUAAAUGGAUGAGAGCCUUGGCUUGCUUAAAAAGUGAAGCUAGGGUUUUUGGAUCUAGAUAUCAAGUGGGCCAAUUUUGGUAAGCAGAAACUGGCGA
rnacentral:rRNA from 1 species